rnacentral:rRNA from 1 species
GACGAACGCUAGCGGCGUGCCUAAGGUAUGCAAGUCGAACGGGGGCGUUCGGCCCUAGUGGCGAACGGUCGCGUAACACGUAGACAACCUGCCUUCCAGUGGGGGAUACCAGCCCGAAAGGGCUGCUAAUACCGCAUGUCGGUGGGGAGCGGCAUCGCUCCCUGACUAAAGGCGCAAGCCGCUGGGAGAUGGGUCUGCGGCCUAUC